GAUGAACGCUGGCGGCGUGCUUAACACAUGCAAGUCGAACGGACGGAGGGAGCUUGCUCCCAAAGUUAGUGGCGGACGGGUGAGUAACGCGUGGGUAACCUACCCUAUGCAGGGGGAUAACAUUUGGAAACAGAUGCUAAUACCGCAUAACCUAAGAGUUUCGCAUGAAACACUUAGCAAAGAUUUAUCGGCAUAGGAUGGACCCGCGUUGGAUUAGCUAGUUGGUGAGAUUAUAGCCCACCAAGGCAACGAUCCAUAGCCGGCCUGGGAGGGUGAACGGCCACACUGGGACUGAGACACGGCCCAGACUCCUACGGGAGGCAGCAGUGGGGAAUAUUGCACAAUGGGCGCAAGCCUGAUGCAGCGACGCCGCGUGAAGGAUGAAUGUCUUCGGAUUGUAAACUUCUAUCAGCAGGGAAGAAUACCAUGACGGUACCUGACUAAGAAGCCCCGGCUAACUACGUGCCAGCAGCCGCCGUAACAC
rnacentral:rRNA from 1 species